GUAUGAAGCUGAUGAGCUCUCGAGCGCAGCAUCAGAGAGCGGGCUUGUCCAGUCGCACACAGAAGCCUCAGCAGGGCUCACCCCUUCGGGGUCGUUUGCCCAGUCACAGGCUGAUGCAGGGAUGACGGACAUGCUUUCCUGGGCGGCCGUGAGCAUCGGGUUAGAGUGGAACCCUUCGCUCUCCCCUGAACCCUCUCGGCUCGAUGAUUGGUUCCUGGGUUCGCGGCGCCGCUCACAGCCACGCCCCGCCCCAGUUCCUUUCUUCCUGGAAGUGCACGAGGAGCUGACAAAAUUGUGGGAGGCACCUUUUUCUGCCCGGUCCCGAUUUCUCAGUUCCCCCGCCCUCAAUACCCUCGAUGGCGGGGCGGCCAGGGGUUAUAAGGCGCUUGCGGUGCACCUAUGCCCGCAGAGCGCCGCCACCUGGCGUGGACGCCCAAAGCUCCCGUCCAAGCCCUGUAGGUUCACAUCAUCCCUGACGGCCAAAGCCUACAGCGCUGCUGGACAAGCAGCCUCUGCCCUGCACGCCAUGGCUCUCCUGCAGGUCCACCAAGCCAAGGCACUAAAAGAACUGCACGAGGGUAUUUUCGCCCCAGAUUUGAUGCAGGAACUGCGCUCAGCGACUGACCGCGCUCUCCGAGUGACGAAGGUCACAGCGCGGUCUCUUGGGUGGACGAUGUCCACAUUAGUGGUCCAGGAGCGCCACCUGUGGCUCAACCUGGUUGAGAUGGGUGAGGCCGACAAGACACGGUUCCUUGCUGCCCCCCAUCUCAAAAACGCAUAGUGGCAUGCAAUACAAGCGGAUAAGCCCGGGAUAGCCAGCCGGGUGUAUCGCUUGGACAUAGUGCCUUUCACCCCCUCUGAGCUGAAGACAUGCGCCAUUAAUUCCCAGUAGUGUUCACAAACGUUCCCUGGUUGACUUCCUCCGAGCCCUGUUGCAGUCGAGUACACUGUACCAUUUGUAACAGACAAUAUUGUCUUUCAGGUCUGGCAGGGGGUCUGACUGUAAAAGAAACUGUCUGGAGAAUAAUGUCAAAACUAAUGACGAACCAACUGGCGAAGCAAAUUAACAGGCGCGGAGUGAAUAGGAAGUAUGGCUUUGAAACAUUUGCCAUUAAAGAUGUUGUCCUCAAAUCUGUGCGAAGAAAUGCAAGUACUGACAGUGCGUCGGACAGAGACAUUGAAAAGUUCAUAAAAAGAUGGCUGCAGCUUGCAUCUGACAGAGAUGGGGGAAGAAGAGAGCGGGCCCUAAAGCAAGCAAAUUGUUUCUAAGGGUACACUUACUUGAGGAGGGUCCUGAUGUUUUCUAGUUUUUUUUUGUUGUUUGUUUUGCAUUUGUUCAUGCCACAUUUUGCUAGUUCAUAUAAAGCUGUAUGUUAAUGUUAGGGUUCAAAUAAAUUAUCAUAUUUCUCAU